UACUCUAUUCUGAGAGUUCGAGCAAAAUGCUUAUAAGCAAGGUUAUUCUCUUCCAAAUAUGCAGUUAUUUCCUGUUAGUUGAGCUAACACACGGCAACAAUCAGGCAUUUCAUCGGUCUAAAUUAAGGACUCAAAGAAGAUCUGGCCUCAAGAGGGUUAAUAGAUGCACGCAGUUGAAGAAUCUAUUAAAGCAAAAAGGCAAUCCCAUAGUAGAAGCACCUAAGACUUCGCCGUGUAAAUUAAAAAAAAUCAAGAAACAAAAAUGUACACAUCCCGUAUUGCAUGGAAACUACAAAGAACCAGUAUACCCGACGCGUAAAGGAUAUCCAGAAUAUGAAAAACCCGCUCCGGAUGCAGCAAGCAUACAGUCGGUUCAAACACUGUCUUUAAAUCUAGUAUGGAAGCAGAUUGUUCAAAGAAAUGAACCUCAUGGAUCUCCAAAGAACAUUUCUUCAUCAUUUAUUAACUCGGUUAAGCUUCCCAAUGUGAAUGAUAAUAUCUCCUCGUCAACGGAACCAUUUACCAAAUCAGAAACAGAGGCAAGUUCCUUGGAGUCUACUUCAUCAUCCCCUUUGAAUAUUCUUCCAUCGCAUAAUAAGCAGGAUUCCGCAACGGAUAGUCAAACAGUUCAACCACUGACUUUAAAUCUAUUAUGGGAGCUGAUACUUCAAGGGAAUGAUUCUAUUGUAUCACCUAAGAACAUUUCUUCAUCAUUUAUCCAAUCGGUUAAACAUCCCAAUGUGAAUGAUAGUCUCUCCACGUCAACCCAACCAUUUACUAAAUCAGAAUCGGAAGCCUUAAAUCCAUCAUGGGGGCCGAAUUUUCAAGGGAAUGAUUCUACCGUGUCGCCAAAGGACAUUUCUUCAUCACUUAUUCACUCAGUACAACUUCCUAAUGUGAAUGAUAGUCUCUCCACGUCAACCCAACCAUUUACCAAAUCAGAAACGGAGGCCCCAAAUCCAUUAUGGGACCUGAUUCUUCAAGGAAAUGAUUCUACUGUGUCGCCAAAGGACAUUUCUUCAUCACUUAUUCACUCAGUACAACUUCCUAAUGUGAAUGAUAGUCUCUCCACGUCAACCCAACCAUUUACCAAAUCAGAAUCGGAGGCCUUAUAUUUAUUAUGGCAGCUGAUUCUUCAAGGGAAUGAUUCUACUGUGUCGCCAAAGGACAUUUCUUCAUCACUUAUUCACUCAGUACAACUUCCUAAUGUGAAUGAUAGUCUCUCCACAUCAACCGAACCAUUUACCAAAUCAGAAACGGAGGCCUUAAAUCCAUUAUGGGACCUGAUUCUUCAAGGAAAUGAUUUUACUGUGUCGCCAAAGGACAUUUCUUCAUCACUUAUUCACUCAGUAAAACUUCCUAAUGUGAAUGAAAGUCUCUCCACGUCAACCCAACCAUUUACCAAAUCAGAAUCGGAGGCCUUAAAUCCAUUAUGGCAGCUGAUUCUUCAAGGGAAUGAUUUAACCUUGUCGCUAAAGGACAUUUCUUCAUCACUUAUUCACUCAGUACAACUUCCUAAUGUGAAUGAUAGUCUCUCCACAUCAACCGAACCAUUUACCAAAUCAGAAACGGAGGCCUUAAAUCCAUUAUGGGACCUGAUUCUUCAAGGAAAUGAUUCUACUGUGUCGCCAAAGGACAUUUCUUCAUCACUUAUUCACUCAGUACAACUUCCUAAUGUGAAUGAUAGUUUCUCCACGUCAACCGAACCCUUUACCAAAUCAGAAACAGAGACAACUUCCUUGGAAUCUACUUCGCCUUUAAAUCUUCUUCCAUCGAAUAAUAAGCAGGAUUCCGCAUCAGGUAGUCAAACAGUUGAAACACAGACUUUAAAUCCUUUAUGGGAGCUGAUUCUUAAAAGAAAUGAAUCUACUGAGUCGACAAAGAACAUUUCUUCAUCACUUAUUCACUCAAUUCAGCUUCCUAAUGUGGAUGAUAUUUUCUCCACGUCAACCGAACCCUUUACUAAAUCAGAAAGAGAGACAAGUUCAUUGGAGGCUACUUCGGCAUCACCUUUGAAUAUUCUUCCAUUGAAUAAUAAACAGGAUUUCGCAACGGGUAGUCAAAUGGUUCAAACUUCCGAGUUAGGCCAACAGCUUCCUGAAAAUCCUGAUUUAACGAAGCCUUCAUCAAUUGUUCAAUCCAUUCGAAUUCCUGAUUUAAGCACACCGCUUUCUCAAUAUAACGGAAACGCAAGUUCCUUGGACUCUGCUGCUAUUUCUUCAUCAUCAUCAAUUAUCCACUCUAUCCAAUUUCCAGUUAUUUCUAAUCCCUCAAAUUUUGAUCCUACACCUAAAAAUGAGAUGACUUUACCAUUUACUAAGUCGGAAACAGAGACAAGCUCCUUGGAGUCUACUUCAUCAUCCCCUUUAAAUAUUCUUCCAUCGAAUAAUAAGCAGGAUUCCGCAACGGAUAGUCAAACAGUUCAAACUUCCAAUUUAGGCCAACAGCUUCCUGAAAGGAAUUCUGAAACUGAUUUAUCAAAGUCCGCAUCAAUUGUUCAAUCCAUUCGAGUUCCAGAUUUAAGCAAAACAUCAAUUUUCCACUCUAUCAAAGUUCCAGUUAUUUCUCAUUCCUUAAUCGUUGAUGCUGCACCUGAAAAUGAGUCCACUUCAACUCCAAAAAAUCUAGAAUCCGAGCGGCAACCUCUAGCAACUGAUAUCUUAAAGUCUGCUUCAUCAAUAGUUCAAUCACUUAAAAUUCCUGUUGAGAAUGACCAUUUAUCGUCAUCAUCGUCGAUACUUCCAUCAGUUCAUAAACGUAGUUUACCAGAAUUCCAAGCUCGUUCUCCAUUAGUCCCUAAUGACAUUUCCGCCGAACUUCUUCAAGAUUACGUGUAACUCUGGUAAAACAAUAACAUAUUAUCUCAAGUCCCGUGUUUAAUCGAAAUAUAAAGUCCUAUUCCUUGAACACAAUAUUCCAAGCAAGUCUUACACAAGCAAUAAUAUUUUAUUAAAAACUUUAUUUCCCGAUAUUAAACAUCUGAUAGGGAAAUAUGUUACUUGUAAAAGCUAAUCCAUAGAAUGCCGAUUUAUGAUUGUGCAAUAAUAAAAUUCUAUAUGUGCUUAAUAUUGUAUACAAAAACUGACUUUUGGUAAGCUGAUUGACACAAGCUCUUCAAAUAGAAUAGAAUAUAUGUUGAUGGAUAUUAAUCUAUUUCAAUCUACAGUAAAAACUAAAAGAUUGAAAGAACAAUUGCUAAUCUAAAAACGAUUGCGCUUCUAUCGCAAGCCCUUCUCUUAGAACCUUUAAAGCGAACAUUCAAUAAACUUUACGCUGUAAAAGUUAAUUGCUAUAAAAAGGCGAGUAUUUCAAUCAAUUUUAUAGCAUGAACGCACCAUAAAAGUGCUAUUGAAAUGUCAUAUAAAAUGCAAAAGAAUUAUAUGAAGCGCAUUUGCUGCUCAGCCACAGUUCGAAAAUGAAGCUCAUAUUUGUGCUCUUGGUUUGUUUGGUUGCGCUGCUGCAGCAGGUAUCUUAUGAUAGAAAUCAAGUACUGGCCUUACCUAAAGGCAAGAGUACCACCAAGGAGCCAUGGAACCACGAGAAUGAUCAAACAACCCAUAGACAUCCAUACAAAAUCUCUGAAGAUAUAUGAAAUGCAACCAAUUAAAAUUUAAUUGAAAUAUUGACAAAA